AUUGAACGCUGGCGGCAGGCCUAACACAUGCAAGUCGAACGGUAACGGGAAGCAGCUUGCUGCUUUGCUGACGGGUGGCGGACGGGUGAGUAAUGUCUGGGAAACUGCCGGAUGGAGGGGGAUAACUACUGGAAACGUUAGCUAAUACCGCAUAACGUCGCAAGACCAAAGAGGGGGACCUUAGGGCCUCUUGCCAUCGGAUGUGCCCAGAUGGGAUUAGCUAGUAGGUGGGGUAACGGCUCCCCUAGGCGACGAUCCCUAGCUGGUCUGAGAGGAUGACCAGCCACACUGGAACUGAGACACGGUCCAGACUCCUACGGGAGGCAGCAGUGGGGAAUAUUGCACAAUGGGCGCAAGCCUGAUGCAGCCAUGCCGCGUGUAUGAAGAAGGCCUUCGGGUUGUAAAGUACUUUCAGCGGGGAGGAAGGGAGUAAAGUUAAUACCUUUGCUCAUUGACGUUACCCGCAGAAGAAGCACCGGCUAACUCCGUG
rnacentral:rRNA from 1 species